AGUACUCGAGUGGCGAACGGGUGAGUAACACGUGGGUAAUCUGCCCUGCACUCUGGGAUAAGCCUGGGAAACUGGGUCUAAUACUGGAUAUGACCUUUCUCCUUAUGGGGUUUGGUGGAAAGUUUUCGGUGUAGGAUGAGCCCGCGGCCUAUCAGCUUGUCGGUGGGGUGAUGGCCUACCAAGGCGACGACGGGUAGCCGGCCUGAGAGGGUGAUCGGCCACAUUGGGACUGAGAUACGGCCCAG
rnacentral:rRNA from 1 species